rnacentral:tRNA from 1 species
UAGUUAUCCUUAGUUUAAUUGGAAGAACAAUAACCUUCUAAGUUAUUGGUACUGGUUCAAGUCCAGUAGGACUGG